rnacentral:tRNA from 1 species
GGAGAGAUGACCGAGUGGUCGAAGGUGCACGUCUGGAAAGCGUGUGUGGGGCAACCCACCGAGAGUUCGAAUCUCUCUCUCUCCG